GUAGGUGAACCUGCGGAAGGAUCAUUAACACGUAUCCAACGUUAAAACCCCCCUGUGAACCUUCAGUGUGCUCGUACAUUUCGUUAGAAAGUAGCAAUUCCUGGUAAAUCAUCGCCAAACAGUUUUGAUUCAGGAACUUCUGCAAGGAGUGUGCUUGUAGCGCGAGGCAAGUGACCUGGCAUUCCUCUGCAUUGUUAGUGUCUGAAAUUGUCAUUAGCUUUGUACGAAUGGCGCAUAGUAACGAUCACUAGAGGCCAUCACGGCCGGUGACCGGGUUGCCGGGCUCACGCCCCUUACUAACCUUUGCAUGAAAACGGGCCUGCGCUUAAUUGUGCGGCCACCAAACUCGAACAACUGUUAACAAUGGAUAUCUUGGUUCUC
rnacentral:misc_RNA from 1 species